AACGAACGCUGGCGGCAGGCUUAACACAUGCAAGUCGAACGCCCCGCAAGGGGAGUGGCAGACGGGUGAGUAACGCGUGGGAAUCUACCUAGUUCUACGGAACAACUGAGGGAAACUUCAGCUAAUACCGUAUACGCACUAAGGGGGAAAGAUUUAUCGGAAUUAGAUGAGCCCGCGUUGGAUCAGCUAGUUGGUGGGGUAAUGGCCUACCAAGGCGACGAUCCAUAGCUGGUCUGAGAGGAUGAUCAGCCACACUGGGACUGAGACACGGCCCAGACUCCUACGGGAGGCAGCAGUGGGGAAUAUUGGACAAUGGGCGCAAGCCUGAUCCAGCCAUGCCGCGUGAGUGAUGAAGGCCUUAGGGUUGUAAAGCUCUUUCAGUGGGGAAGAUAAUGACGGUACCCACAGAAGAAGCCCCGGCUAACUUCGUGCCAGCAGCCGCAGUAAAAC
rnacentral:rRNA from 1 species